rnacentral:rRNA from 1 species
GACGAACGCUGGCGGCGUGCUUAACACAUGCCAGUCGAACGGAAAGGCCCUGCUUUUGUGGGGUGCUCGAGUGGCGAACGGGUGAGUAACACGUGAGUAACCUGCCCUUCACUUUGGGAUAACUUCAGGAAACUGGGGCUAAUACCGGAUAGGAGCUCCUGCUGCAUGGUGGGGGUUGGAUAGUUUCGGCGGUUGGGGAUGGACUCGCGGCUUAUCAGCUUGUUGGUGGGGUAGUGGCUUACCAAGGCUUUGGCGGGUAGCCGGCCUGAGAGGGGGACCGGCCACAUUGGGACUGAGAUACGGCCCAGACUGCUACGGGAGGCAGCAGGGGGGAAUAUUGCACAAUGGGCGGAAGUCUGAUGCAGCAACGCCGCGUGCGGGAUGACGGCCUUCGGGUUGUAAACCGCUUUCGCCUGUGACGAAGCGUGAGUGACGGUAAUGGGUAAAGAAGCACCGGCUAACUACGUG